rnacentral:rRNA from 1 species
AGCUAGUCGGUAGGGUAAUGGCCUACCAAGGCGACGAUGGUUAGCUGGUCUGAGAGGAUGAUCAGCCACACUGGAACUGAGACACGGUCCAGACUCCUACGGGAGGCAGCAGUGAGGAAUAUUGCGCAAUGGGGGCAACCCUGACGCAGCAACGCCGCGUGAGUGAGGAAGGCUUUCGGACCGUAAAGCUCUGUCGAGCGGGAAGAAAUGCAUGGUGGCUAAUAUCCAUCAUGCUUGACGGUACCGCUAAAGGAAGCACCGGCUAACUCCGUGCCAGCAGCCGCGGUAAUACGGGGGGUGCGAGCGUUGUUCGGAAUUAUUGGGCGUAAAGAGCGUGUAGGCGGCCGAAUAAGUCAGAUGUGAAAUCCCUGGGCUUAACCCAGGACGUGCAUUUGAAACUAUUCGGCUAGAGUAGGGGAGAGGAAAGUGGAAUUCCUGGUGUAGAGGUGAAAUUCGUAGAUAUCAGGAGGAACACCGGUGGCGAAGGCGACUUUCUGGCCCUAUACUGACGCUGAGACGCGAGAGCGUGGGUAGCAAACAGGAUUAGAUACCCUGGUAGUCCACGCUGUAAACGAUGUUCACUAGGUGUUGGGGGUAUUGACCCUCUCAGUGCCGCAGCUAACGC